rnacentral:lncRNA from 1 species
AUGGGCUGGGAAGUGUAGCCGUCUACAAAGACCAGAGCACUUGGAUGGAGGAGGGGUGCGAGUUGGAGCUUUAUGCUGGACAGGUUGUCUAAAUAUACCCAUUCAACAGAUUACAGGAAGAGCUGUGAAUGUUCAUGAAGGUAGUUCUGAGACCUGCAUAUUGAACAAGCGGUGCCCAGAGUAGUGGGUAGCUCACCCCCCAGUGGGUCUACCCCAGCAACAACCCCAGUGGCCACCCAUCGUUGCUAGUCUGGAGCUUGCGGUGACCCUCAUCCUGCCUCUGAGAAGACUUUGCACAAGCUGCUGAGGACACUAAGGCUGGAGACAUGGGACAUGGAUGCCCUGUGAUCAAUUAAGUUGGUUAACGUCACCAGCGUAGAUGAUGUCAACGCUUCACCCUCUGGAGGCCCCAGAAAGCAGCUUUCCUUCACACGCCGCCGGACUGUCCACUGAUGGAGGCGGAUGGAUGCUCUUGGCCGCAUUUCUCGGCACUCAGGUUGUGACUGUCCCAGGCUUCCUGUUAAAUGCAUUCCUGGUCCGAAUAGCUUCACCCACGUGCUCAGGGCAGCGGGUGGAGUGCCAUCUCCACAUUUUUCUGUAGGAAACCCUCCAAGGAGGUGCUGCCUCCUCCUUCGGGCAGUGAAAACUCCUCAGCAAACUGGGACAUAGGUGCCAGAUGUUCAUCAGGACUACCCUGGAAAGAAGUCCAGGCCAUCCAGAUCAGGGAGGCUGGGUCUGAAGCUGGGUCUGCCAAGGCCUGGUUUCUGUCCAAGCCUCACUAGGGGAGGGACUUAUGGUGCAAACUCCCCAUUCCCUCUGGUGUGUGCGUUGCAGCCGUGAUGCUGUUUGCCUCAACUUAUGGGUCUUCUCUGGGCCCAGAUUGAACCUUCCUAUCUGUUUCCACUAGCUUUGUAUGCCAUAUGGCAUUUUACAGCCCCAUACUAUGUAGGUAACAGAAACAACAGCACUUGCAAACUACAUAUAUUUCAAAAAACAACUAGGUCUUUUGAUUAAAUUAUAAGCUUUAAUUAUAUUCUAACUAAUUAGAACAUGUUUAACAUAGACCUCUCCCAUACCUGAAAAACUGAAUGAAAAGAAACUUACAAAUGAACCCUCUGUAGGAUUACCAUUAGGUUAAAAAGAUAACUAAAAAAUAUACUAUUUUAGGCCAAGUGUGAUGGCUCACACCUGUAAUCCCAGUGCUUUGGAAGGCUGAGGCAGGAAGACUGCUUGAGGCCAGGAAUUUGAGACCGGCCUGGACAAGACAGUGAGACUC